rnacentral:lncRNA from 10 species
CCCUGCCAGACUCGCCCUUGGGUCCCUGUCUGACGAGCUCUAGGCAAUCUGCCCUCGUUCGGGACACAACCAUCGGUCUCACCCCUCAGUUUCUGCCAGAGAAAAAGGAAAAGUCACCGAGAGGCCUGACCCUGACGGUGGCGACAGUAGUAGAACCGACCUCGUAGGCUCAUCGGGAGGUCCUGAUGGGAGAACCCAUGCAACUUGCCACCAUAGAGCCAGGCCCGCGGCGGUUGGCGCCUGGUGGGUAUUAAAGACGAGUCGGGAAAGAAGAGCAGCAACCCUGGGAGGUAGGCCUUAUGGUUUCUGUUUUGCAAAUGAAGAACCUGAGAUUGAAGAAGAGUAGAGAUUGGAGGAUCAGAUCCUGAGAGGUCCCAUGUGCUUUCCAAUAACAGUUCAGUAUAUUAGAAGACAGUGUGGCAUCCACGGCCAAGUACUACUAGUGAGUAAUACAGUAAUUGCUUUUUACAUUUGAUAAACACGGAGAAAGGGAAGGCAUUUCGGGUCAUUGGGGCAGCUAGGACUUAUAAGAGCAGUGCUAGGGUGGCAGCAGCAUUCAGGUAGAUGGUAAGGAGAAUUAAGUUAGAGAGACAGGAUCCUCAGUCUGGUUCAGAAGUAAAUAUAUAAGGGCCUGUUCUAUGGAAUGUAGUGAGAAGUGGUUAAAUAAGAUGAAUCCCAGGAAACCUCAAAAGAAGGCUUAUAGAGCCCCAUAGGGUGGUAGAUUCACACUAUAGACCUGAGAGCCAGAUCUGUUCAGUUCCAAAUUUGAUUCUUGCACUUACCAGCUCUGUGUCCUCAGGCAAGUCAUUUUACCUUUCCAAGCCUCACUCCCAACUCUGUAAAACAAGGAUAAUACCUACCUCAGGGUUAUUAUGAUAAUAAAACUAGUAUUUAUUUCAGGCCGGCGUGGUGGCUCAACCCUGUAAUCCCAGCACUUUGGGAGGCCGAGGUGGGUGGAUCACUUGAGGCCAGGAUUUUGAGACUAGCCUGGCCAACAUGGUGAAACCCUGCCGAUACUAAAAAUACAAAAAUUAGCCAUGCGUAAUGCAUAGUACCAGCUACUCAGGAAGUUGAGACAGGAGAAUUGUUUGAACCC